CGGUGGAGCAUGUGGUUUAAUUCGGAAGCNACGCGCAGAACCUUACCUACCCUUGACAUGCCCGGUUUGGGUUUUCAGAGAUGAGAUCCUUCAGUCCGGCUGGCCAGGGCACAGGUGCUGCAUGGCUGUCGUCAGCUCGUGUCGUGAGAUGUUGGGUUAAGUCCCGCAACGAGCGCAACCCUCAUCCUUAGUUGCCAUCACGUCUGGGUGGGCACUCUAAGGAAACUGCCCGUGGCAAGCGGGAGGAAGGUGGGGAUGACGUCAAGUCCUCAUGGCCCUUACGGGUAGGGCUACACACGUGCUACAAUGGCAGUGACAAUGGGAUAAUCCCCAAAAACUGUCUCAGUUCGGAUUGUCGUCUGCAACUCGACGGCAUGAAGUUGGAAUCGCUAGUAAUCGUGGAUCAGCAUGCCACGGUGAAUACGUUCCCGGGCCUUGUACACACCGCCCGUCACAUCAUGGGAGUUGGGUCUACCCGAAGACCGUGCGCUUACUCCGGAGGCAGCGGGCCACGGUAGGCUCGGCGACUGGGAUGAAGUC
rnacentral:rRNA from 1 species